AUUGAACGCUGGCGGCAGGCCUAACACAUGCAAGUCGAGCGGGCGGCGGGCGGGUGAGUAAUGCAUGGCAAUUGCCCAGACGGGGGGGAUAACAGGAGGCAAGGACUGCUAAUACAGCAUACGACUGGAUUGCUCAGGCGGGAUUAGCUAGUUGGGGAGGUAAUGGCUCACCAAGGCGACGAUCCCUAGCUGGUCUGAGAGGAUGAUCAGCCACACUGGAACUGAGACACGGUCCAGACUCCUACGGGAGGCAGCAGUGGGGAAUAUUGCACAAUGGGCGAAACCCUGAUGCAGCCAUGCCGCGUGUGUGAAGAAGGCCUUCGGGUUGUAAAGCACUUUCAGCGAGGAGGCGUUACUCACAGAAGAAGCACCGGCUAACUACGUGCCAGCAGCCGCGGUAAUAC
rnacentral:rRNA from 1 species